rnacentral:lncRNA from 1 species
CUGAGAUGUCUUCUCUGAAUUCACCACACCUGCGUUAAAUGUUUUUCACAGUCGUGCUCAGAGAGCCAGAAUCACAUGGAGAACUUCUGAGAAUUCCAGAUUCCUGGAUGCUGUUCCUGGAGUUUCUGCUUCAGCCUAUCUGGGAAUGGGGCAAGAAGCCUACACUUUUGUUUCAGGUCUGAUCAUCGAUUCUUCCCACACAGCAGGAAAGGAGGCGAUUAUGACCAGAUGUUUCCUGGUAUUUAGCUUCAGAAUGUUUCCUUUUAUGCAUCUGAAACAUUGUCAUUUCUUGGAGACUCUAAUGUGGCUUUAAAAAAAGAGGAUCACUCUGUCCCCAACUGUUACCUGCUCUCCAAGGGAGAGCUCAACCCCAGGAAAUUGGAAGAUCUGGCAACCGAAACCUAAUGAAACUUGAGAUCAACUUGCUGCCACUGAAUAUAACCCUAUGGAGCUGAGGAAAUCACUACUGCCCCCUGUUGGACUCGCAACCCUCAAAGUCAGUAUUAUCAUUAUCCCGAUUUUACAAAUGAAGAAACUGAAGCACAGAGAGGUCAAGUAGUUCACCCAACGUCACCACUAGCCAGUAAGUGGCAGAAAAAGGAUUCACAGCUAAGUGGCCUGACUCUAGAGCCUAUAUUCUUACCUUAAUCUACUCUAGACUAUUCUCAACCUUAAGAUAUUUUAUCUACAUCAAAGCUGCAUUUAAUGCUCAAUUGUUUUUACACAUCUGUAGGCUGCUGUUGCAAAUGUGGGAUGAGGUUUUAUUUUUUUUCUGUCCCUUCUCAUCUGGGCCCUGGGCAAUUGCUUAGAGGUAGAGCUGGUAGCGUUGUCUUCUGCUGCUCCUCACCUGUGCUCCAGAGGACAAAAAUAGGGCAGCCUGCAUCAUUUCUUGCCCAGUUAUUCAACACUUAUUGAUUGCCCGUCUCAGGCAAAGCACUGAAAGGAUUGAAGCUACACAUGACAUAACCCUUGGCCUGGAGGCUCUUACACCUCAUCUGGAUCCAGGGGCAUUUACAGGAGAAGAAGAUGGACAGGCCAGGAGACCAUUAAAAACAGGAAUACUCGACCAGGCAUGGUGGCUCACGUCUGUAAUCUCAGCACUUUGGGAAGCCAAGGUGAGUGGAUCACCUGAGGUCAGGAUUUAGAGACCAGUCUGACCAACAUGAAGAAACCCCAUCUCUACUAAAAAUACAAAAAAUUAGCCAGGCGUGGUGGCACAUGCCUGUAAUCCCAGCUACUCUGGAAGCUGAGGCAGGAGUAUCGCUUGAACCCGGGAGGCGGAGGUUGCGGUGAGCUGAGAUCGCACCGUUGCACUCCAGCCUGAGCAACAAGAGCGAAACUCCAUCUCAAAAACAAAACAACAACAACAAAAAAAAACAAAAACAAAAACAGGAAUACUCACCUCCAGCCCUGUUUGGCUACAUGCUUCAUUUCUCUUACUCUAUCCCUGAAUCACUGGAGUGCUAGGAAAAGUGACCACCUUCGUGCAUCUCCUUUUCUACCUAAAAAAUGUAGCUUCCUUGAUUUUUUUUUGGGUCGGGGGAUUGUUUGUUAGCGUGAAAGUGGUUUAAGAUCUAAGGCAAAAUAACAAAGUGUUAUUAUCUGAGUACACAGCACACACUGCCCUUUCAAAACUGUUGCCUGUAGACUUACUGCACAGAGCAAAGCCCUCUGGGAACAAGCACUUACAAUGAAAAAUGGCUUAUUAUCAUAAUGGAGUAUUCAAUUACUUCCUCUGAUGAGAGGUGGAGGGGUUUCUAAAUUCAUUGUAUUAAUUUAGAGUUUAGGGGAGGGAAAUAAUUAAAAAUGUAGGCCACCUAUGGGUGCUACAUAAUGUGGAUGAUAUAGUGUUGUUAUAAUGGGAAUAUGAUACAUUUUAUUUAUACAGUCUCUAGCUACAAAGAGUGUAUUAGGUAUUUUGCAGUGGGGCUUGGAAGCCUAAAACAAACAAGAUUAAAAUCAGCAAUAAAGCAGAUCGGGAGAAGCCAGUGAAAUUCAGCAAUAAAUUUGAUGCAAAGCCAAUGUGAUAUGCCAAAGGCCUUUUAGAAUUUGCUGUGGGCUGAUGAUUAUGUUUUCUUAGUUUAGUGAUAUGGGAGGAUAUAGAAGGUAGGGUUGAUGACUGUGAAGGAGAGGUCAGCCAGGGAGCACUUCCUAUUGCAGGAAGAACAAUUCCAACUUUGUGGAGGAGAAUAGAAUAUUCAUGGCCUAAAGGUUUUUGUGAAAAUGUGUGUGUGUGUGUGUGUGUGUGUGUGUAACUCUCCACAGUCACUCAUUCCUGUGUGAUUCAUAAGUCUUAUAGUCAGGAAAUCCUUUCUCCAUAACCCCAUAUCAUUUUGUGGGGUUUCCCACUCAUGUUUUCUUUUAUUUCUUCCAGUCCCAUGCUCAGCCUUCAAUCUUUUAAAACCUCCAGACUCCUGUAACAAUUACUCCUGGUAUUCCUCAUGUUAAUAUAGCAGAGCAUACUAGACAGAAAUAAGGCCCAGGAGAGGAGAAUGCAUACUUAAUAGUCAUAUGGGGUUCACUGGGUCCAAUCUCAGUGUAAUAACACUUAGCAAAAUUUCUCGGAAUUCUAUGAAAAUGGCAGCAAAGAUUUGCUGAGAAAGGCUGCAUGUACUGUCUAUUUUUCUCCAUGCACUUACAUUAAACAUACCCUAAAGCAUAUCUUCUAAGGCCCUGGCAAAAACCCUUAACCCAUGUGUUGACGAGAAUGGUUCUGGUCUAGCUUGUGCCCUACUUUAU